UCUUUCUUUCUUUCUUUCUUUCUUUCUUUCUUUCUUUCUUUCUUUCUUUCUCAGGAUGUACCAAACUGUAGAUAUUAUCAUUUCAAACAUUGAAGCAAUUUCUCAGAUGGGUUUUUCUGUUUUCUCAGCUUAAGGAUGGCUUUUUUCACCUGCAUGGAGAACUCCUUUGGAUGCAUGUUGUUUGUUCACAGCAAAAUAUUCCAAAUGCAAGCAUGACACAUCAAAUCAACUCCAGGCCCUUUAUCUGCUUAAUUAAUAAUGACAUAAUACAGGAAGUGCCCACACGUGCCCAUGAAACAGCCUUUGAGUUGUCCAGUUACUUCUGGUCCCUUUAUAAAGCGGUUGGCACAUGUUAAGAAGCUGAAACUCCAAAACUCUUUAUUCAAUUUGACUGUGGAUACCCUCAAAUGAAAGCUGGGAGUCUACGCAUUAUGUCCAUGUCCACUGUAUAACUAUAAUUAGAAUAUGUUCUGGCAAAGAGGUAUAAAAACAAUUAUAAAUGGACCUAACUGGAAGUAGCACUUGCAUCUGUAGUUACUAGCUUUGAUUUUAAUUGCUUAGUGUUCAUAAAAAUAUCUGCUGUUUUUUUAAUGUGAAAAUCUAAUAAUGCAAAAUUUCACAUGAUUUUUAAGUGAACAAAUACAAAAGUGGAACACAAUCAAAUGUGUUUACAUACAGUAAUAAAACAUUACAUUUAUUCAAUUUUAUAUAUUCGUUUUUGUUUGGUUUAUUGUUUUGAACUAUUUAAAGAAGUCCCCACUUUGCUGAAAAUGUCAGUUUUAGACAUUUGGAGUCAAAAAUACAGCAGUGAAAGGUAAAAUGUUCAUGAUACACAGAAACAUCUACAAAACUUUCAACUUGAACAUUUGACAAAACUUUCAUAUUGUAUAAAUUAUCUUCCUUUACGUGCAAUAUUACUGGUUAGUGUUUCACAGUGAGCCCACUGCUGGUGAUGUAUUUGUUUAACACUGAUUAUUAGAGUAGGAAUAGAAGAUUACCUACGAUAUGCAUAUAUCCUAAUGACCUGUUAGUCACAGGUUGUUAACAAAUGAGUGCUUGUUUGCAUAACUAGUCCCUUUGUCUAUCUGCUUUCUAAACACCAAGAUGGCAAAAAAAACUCCGUGUUAUUGGGCUGUUUACUAAUUUGUACCACUGUGUCUUUUUCAUGUUAACAUCAGUCCUACAUAAGAAAAUCCUGGUAAUGACACAAUGCACCUGUUCUGUUUGAGCAAUGAUGCUGAACUGUUUAUUAAUUAAUAUAAAGCUCUCCAGGCUUUUGGCUGUCUUAUUUUGUUGUUCUGUAAAAUAAGCUUCUCUGUGUAAGCUUAUUGGCUCAAUUAGCUCUUUCAAAACUUUUUGAUAUACCACAUUUUUCAAAUCUACUAAAUGCAUUUUAUUUGCAAGAAGCUUAGUGUAUGUUUAAUAAAAAUUGCAGUAUAUUAUAUAAAAUUGCCUCAUGAUUUCUCAGGAUAAGAGUCUGAGAAAAUGUAUUAUCUGUGUUUGUUAUUAAUUAAAAAUGUACAAAAACAA